GAAGAAGAAGAAGAAGAAGAAUACGGAUAACCAGACAAAUUCUUUCUCACGGCAUGAGCCAUGUAAUCAACUGCUACCCCCUUCACUUUCACAGAAAUAUUAAUGAUACCGUUCUUUUCACCCCUCAAAUCCCUCAGCCUAUAACUCAAGAAAUGCAAAUAAUUUACAGGGGUAUAACCUCCCAAGAAGUCAGAAGCAGGAACCGUAGCUGUGCCAAUUACUCUAUUCGCUGAGCUAAUCCUGCAUUGCACUUCUAAGGUAAUAAACCCAGCAUGCAUUGGCAUCUCCAUUUCGAGUUUUUGAUUCCAG
rnacentral:misc_RNA from 1 species